rnacentral:rRNA from 1 species
GAUGAACGCUAGCGGCAGGCCUAAACAUGCAAGUCGAGGGGCAUCAUGGCGUAGCAAUACGCUGAUGGCGACCGGCGCACGGGUGCGUAACGCGUAUGGAACCUACCCACCGCAGGGGGAUAACCCGCCGAAAGGCGGACUAAUACCCCCAUGGUUCCCCGACCCUGCCUGGGGUUGGGGGUAAAGCCUACGGGCGGCGGUGGAUGGCCCUGCGUGCCAUUAGCUGGCUGGUGGGGUAACGGCCCACCAGGGCGACGAUGGCUAGGGGGUCUGAGAGGACGAUCCCCCACACUGGUACUGAGACACGGACCAGACUCCUACGGGAGGCAGCAGUGAGGAAUAUUGGUCAAUGGGCGCAAGCCUGAACCAGCCAUCCCGCGUGCAGGAAGACGGCGCUAUGCGUUGUAAACUGCUUUUCCAGGGAGAGAAACUUGCGCACGUGUUGCGCAAUUGACGGUACCCUGGGAAUAAGCAUCGGCUAACUCCGUG